rnacentral:tRNA from 4 species
GCGGAUGUGGCGAAAUUGGUAGACGCGCUAGACUUAGGAUCUAGUGCCGCGAGGCGUGGGGGUUCGAGUCCCUUCAUCCGCA